rnacentral:rRNA from 1 species
UACAGAGGUCUCAAGCGUUGUUCGGAUUCACUGGGCGUAAAGGGUGCGUAGGUGGUGAGGUAAGUCGGAUGUGAAAGCUCCAAGCUCAACUUGGAAAUGGCAUUGGAAACUACCUUGCUAGAGGGUUUGAGGGGGGACUGGAAUACUUGGUGUAGCAGUGAAAUGCGUAGAUAUCAAGUGGAACACCAGUGGCGAAGGCGAGUCCCUGGAAAACUCCUGACACUGAGGCACGAAAGCUAGGGGAGCAAACGGG